GUUCUGCAGUGAGUCCCUCUCAGAAUAAAAGCAAUGUCCUUGCAAUGGCCUUGAAGGCCCUACAUGAUCUAGCCCCCCAUCACCUUACCUCUGUGAUUUCAUCUCUUAAUAUUCUCCCCCUUGCUCGUCCCUCUCCAGACACACUGGUAUCUUUGCUAUUUCUCAAACACACCAGGCGUAUGCCUGCACACCUGAGGGUCUUUGCUCUAGCUGUCCUAUCAGGAGGCUCUCCUGGCCAACUUUCUCACCUCCUUCAACUCUUAGCAUACAGGUGUGCUACUGACCUACUCUCUUUAAUACUGCAACUUGACCCACCAUCAGCACUUAUUCCCUUACCUUGCUCUAUUUUUCCUUUGUUUCCAUAGCACUUACUUUCUAAUGGGCUCCUGCACUGAUUUGGUCAUACCCUAUGAUCUCAAACAGAUGCGGGCCUCUGGUUUGCUGGGCUACAGCUGUGUUCUCGGAGCCACUGCCCACUUCCCAGGACAGAUGACACUUGUCUAUAACUGCAUCAUCCAGCACAGAAGCUGCUACCGUGGCUUGAAAUGUGGCCAGUCCAAAAUAAGAUGGAUGCUGAGGCCUGAAAAUUCUAAACUCUUCUCAAAACUAGCUGGAGGAUGAAGUCAAUAAGCAGGAGGGCAGAGCCAGAGGCAUAGGAGAACUUGAGUAAACGAGCCUGCACGCUCACACGUAAAGGAGCUACACUGAUCGAGACUGCAAUUCUUCCAUCAAGUGGCAAGCAUACUGUAGAAGAAUGACCAACACAGGUCACACAUGCAGCCUGUUAAAGAAAACAUGUGAAAUGUAAACAGCUAUUUAAUCUGAAAAAAUAUAUAGCUGCAGGUGAAAGAGUAAUAGUAUAUUUGUGUACAGAGUUCUCCACAGCACAAGAUGCGCUGUGGGCAGACAGGGUAGUACAAUGGACUAAGCCCCUGGUCUCACGAAGCUUGUAAUUACAGACAAAUGAAACACAAACAAAAAACCAUGUUUAUUGAGUAUGGUAACUGAUGAGAAAUAACAGCAAAGAAGGUUAAUGAGGAAAGGUUUUCUGAACAUGCCAGAGUCUGAACUUCAAUUUUAAAGGUUGGUAAUACUGAGAGGGUGUGGGAAAUGGUGCAUUACAGGAUGAGGAAAAGUUAAGUAUUUAGGAACGUGGGUGGAAAUUCAGUAACAUACUGCUGUGAUGGCAGCAGGUAAGGUUCUAGACGACUCCACUGUCAGGUUCAUGACACAGUAGGGCAGAAGGAAAAAAACCUUAUAAUCGGAGACAGAGCUUCAACUUGGAAUGCCUGUUCCACUAUGUCCAUCUGUCUGACUCUGGACAAGUAACAACCCUCCCUGUGUCAGUCUCCUCACUUUACAAAGUGGGAAAAUGCAGCUUGGGUCGGGGGCUUAGAGAUGACACGAGACGAGGCGUGUUAAGUAACAUGUGAUAGAAAGGUACUUGAUCAUGGUAGUUAUCACUUAAAAUUUUUUUUUAAAUGUUCAUUCAUUUAUUUCCAUAGAGAGAGAGUGCAAGCAGGGGAGAGGCAGAGAGAGGGAGAGA